GGUCAGGUAGCUCAGUGGUAGAGCACCUGGUAUAUAUCCAGACAACCUGGGUUCAAAUCCCAGUCUGGUCA